GUCUUAUUGAUUAUAAUUUUAAGUCUAAUCUGCCCAAUGAGUUAUUAAAUGGCUGCAGUAUUUUAACUGUACAAAGGUAGCAUAAUAAUUAGUUUCUUAAUUAGGAACUGGAAUGAAUGAUUGGACGAGAUAAUAACUGUCUUAGUUUAAAUUUUAGAAUUUUAUUUUUAAGUUAAAAAGCUUAAAUUUUUUUAAAAGACGAGAAGACCCUAUAGAAUUUUAUAUUAUUUAAAUAUUAAAUUUUUGGUAAUUUAAUAUAUAAUUUUUUAAAAAAUAUUUAGUUGGGGUGAUUGAAAAAUUUAAUAAACUUUUUUUUAUGUUAACAUAAAUGUAUGAUUUUAUGAUCCAGUUUUUCUGAUUAUAAGAGUAAAUUACCUUAGGGAUAACAGCGUAAUUUUUUUAGAGAGUUCUAAUCGAUAAAAGAGAUUGCGACCUCGAUGUUGGAUUAAAGUUUAUUUUUAAUGCAGAAGUUAAAAUAUUAGGUCUGUUCGACCUUUAAAACUUUACAUGAUCUGAGUUUAAACCGGUGUAAGCCAGGUUGGAUUCUAUCUUUAAUAAAAUUAAAUUUUUUAGUACGAAAGGACCAAAUAUUUAUUAUAGUAGUUUUAUAUGAAUAU
rnacentral:rRNA from 1 species